rnacentral:misc_RNA from 1 species
GAUGAAGAACGCAGCGAAAUGCGAUAAGUAAUGUGAAUUGCAGAAUUCCGUGAAUCAUCGAAUCUUUGAACGCACAUUGCGCCCCUUGGUAUUCCGAGGGGCAUGCCUGUUCGAGCGUCAUUAUAACCCCUCAAGCUCAGCUUGGUGUUGGGGCCUGCUGCACUGGCAGCCCUUAAAAUCAGUGGCGGCGCCGUCUGGCUCUAAGCGUAGUAAUUCUUCUCGCUAUGGAGUCCUGGUGGAUGCUUGCCAUCAACCCCCAAUUUUUCUAUGGUUGACCUCGGAUCAGGUAGGGAUACCCGCUGAACUUAAGCAUAUCAAUAAGCGGAGGA